rnacentral:lncRNA from 10 species
UUUUUUUUUUUUUUUUUUUUGCUGCUGUACUCUCAAUGGUCAGGAAAGCCCAUAGGCAAGAUUGGGGAAGAUGUUGAAAAUGAAAAUAUUUAACAUGUUUAAGCAGAAAAAAAGUCCAUUUUUGUAUAAGAAAAUGUUCUUAUUAUGCACACAUGAUUAUCUACCUCUACAUCAUCACUGUUCUUCCUGUCCCAAUCAAGAGAGGUAUUUUUCAUUCAAUUUUUGCAAGAAACAUGGCAUUGCCAAAAUUUAGAUAUUUUAACUUGCAAAAUGGCAAUUUCAAAUGGCUCAACUUUGUACCAUGUGCAAGGCAUUGGGUAUAUGGUAGGGAACAAAAGUGAUAGAGGCUCCGUCUCUUAGGACCCCUCCCUCUCCUAGAGGGACAAUGUCCUAAGCCUAGAGAAAAGUCACAGAUAUUAAUGGAGAUGGUACAACCUGUGACCUUAUCUUGAAAACAACUAUGAUUUUUUUGCCAUGUAGCUUGGACCACUGGUCACCAGUCCUGAGCAGUAUUUUUCUGUUGGUAUGUAUUUGAUAAGUAACUGGUUUUUUAAAGAUGCCAACAGACCCACAGGAUUGAAAUCAUUCCAUUACACUAGUUUCCCAUUGUUCCUCCAUCAGCCUCACAUCAUUUAUCCAGGGCACUUGCUGUGUACUGCAAACUCUGUGGCGCUAAUGAUGUAGAAAGAAUUUAAACUUUCAGCAGUAAAUGUCUGCUAGAUAACAGCAGCUGGAUGGUUGGAGACCAUCUCUGGUGCCAUGAGUAUCCUCCCUUCUGCCAAACAUUUUUAUCUGUGGAGCACAACACAGAACUCACUUCACAUCCCUGCAACUUUCCCUGGCCAAGUAGAUUUGGUCUCAGUGCUCUUAUCGCUCAUGUGACAAAUGUGUUUCUCACAAGAAUGUGUGUUUAUAUAUAUAUAUAUGUAUAAAAAUGAAAGGUUGGCAAGAAAUUGAUAUGAACUUGUAUAGAUUGGAUACCUCUGCUAGCGAUAAUAUUUAUUCAUCCAUCUUGACUCACUCCAGAUUGCUGAGACUCUAUGUGUGUAAAGACAGUUUCUAUCUCAAAUUAUAAACAAUCUCUUAGCACUUAUUGUGGUGUGAUGGAGCUAAUAGUACCUCAAUAAAUGCUCAUAGAAGAUUAUAACUUUCCAAUGUCUGUUUUGUGGCAAUCAACAUAUAACCAACUGAAGUAAUUUUAUCACAUUGAAAAUUAAGUGCUAAGAAAAAGGAAAGAAUUGGGGUGUGUAUUUUAUGAUAUAAUUUCAUGUGGCAAUGUAGAUGUCAAUGUAACUUUUUCCUUUUCUAAAUGCCCAAGUCAUUUCACAAGACCACAAAACUCUUCUUUCUUUUCAAGUGAAAAUGAUUUCUUUUCAAAUAGACGAAAAAGAAAUUCAUUGCCUUCAGGUUAUAUGAGGUGAGAAAAUCAGGGGAGACUAUCCUGUUUUAAAGGAUAAGAAUUUGAGCAAUGAAAAUAGCUAGAGAGCCCAGAUUCUCAUUAGCACCAUUUUUAUCUGGUGUGUGAUAGCAGGAGAUAGAGUUGAUUAAAAUCGCUUUUCAGAGGAUUGAAAAAGUACAUUCUUGUCACUCUCCUCAGAUCAUUGGGGCAUUCUGUUUAUUUUCUGCCUCUUUCCACUGAUACUUAUUUCUAGUUUCCAUGGAUCCUUUUUCUCUUUUUCCCACAGUGUGGUAGUCACUAUGUAAGGAAUUCCUUAAGUCUGGCAAGUGCAGUAAUUUUUCAAAUUAGAAUUAUCAUAAAAAUUUUAAUACCAAUUUAAGGAUAUUCCUGUUCAUACACUUUGAACAUUACAAUAGAUACUCCCUUAAUUAUUAAACUUGUGACUUUGGAUCCCUUUCCCUAAUAAAUGUUAGGUCAGUUGAAUCAAAGGAGGAGAAGUCUACCUGGAGAUUUUAGUGACUAUUGGGGAAAUUAAAACAAAACAAAACAAAAAAAGACCCAUAACGAUAGAAAAACAUCCAGUGUCUUGCAUUGGUAUUUCAAUGUAGUGUAAGAUAAAUUCCAGUUGCUAAAAUCUAGUUUCACCACCAGGGCUGGUCAAUACCUCCUGUGUCUAUGAGGUUGGAGGAGGAGUUUGCCUCAGCGGGAAGGUUCGUAAUGUUAGGUAACUACUCUAACAUGGCAAUACUUGAGUGAUUAUUUAUUUUCUAAACACACAUUUCUCUGGUCCUUGUUUAUUUAUGGCAUGGGAAUAAACAUUUGAGACUUUGUAUAGUUUUAUCUAUUAAUAAUAAUUAAUCCAGUAUCUGAAAACAUUUCUAACUAGUGUUUUCCAUGAGGCCCUUUAAAAGAGAGAAAUUCAAUUGCCUUUUGAGAUGUGAAUGUUGAAUUCAUUUAGAUCUCCUGCAGAAAUAAAUCCGUCAUAGGCAAAGUUAACAUCUCACUAGUGUUAGAAAAACCUGCUGAAGUUCGAAAUGUUUCUCAAGGUAGUAUGUUCAUUUGGUAUUAUAUUUAAGUAAGAAAGCUAAUUUUAUAGGGGUUGGGGCUUUUGAACUUUCCUAUCUCAGACAUUCCUUGGAACUGGAGAAACUCAUAUCUGAGAUCAACAUUUGGCAGCAUUCAAAAUACUUUCUUCAUUACAAUAAUAUAAUUUCCCAUGUAAUUUGGCUUCUUGGAGUGGAGGCGGCACUAACUUCACCACUUUAAAUGGAAGAAUAAGAUUUGGCACCCUGUCAUAUGACUUGUCAUUUGAAGUCACCUGCUUUUAAGCAAUCCCAGAGAGGCUGGGGUUUAGAGUCCCAAAGGAUGGCAUAUGACUCUUCUCCAUGCUCCUCAGGCUAAACUCAUUGAAACAGAAGCUGCACUUGUUAUUUUUGUGAUGAGCACGACUUAGUAUUGCAACCCCAGAGCUGGGCGAAACACUGGUGUUGUGCAGAAUCAAUCAAAUCAAGGUAUGGCCUUGCCAGACAGCAAAUAUAUGAAAAGAAUACAACUUUCUUCCAGCAGUGAAAGAUUGGUUGAAGGAAAUUCCCUGUAACCAAGAAGGGGCUAGAAACUAAAAUCAAAUGAUUUGUUUAUAAGUAUAUAGGAAUAAUCUACUUUUCUUCUUGUGAAGGAAGCUCGGUCUGUGCAUCUGGGGUCCUGGUAAAAUCAUUUUGGGUGGCUCUCUGGCUUCUGGUCCCGAGUUUUGGAACUCACCUGUAGAAGGUACCCAUGUUGCUUGCAAAGGUAAAUCUCUUCCCCUGAAAGAUGCAGAAACUGAAAUCCUGUCUAUCUAGAAAAUGCUGCAUGCUCCCUUCCUUCUCCUGGUCCUGGCCUGUCACCUCCUGGCCCUGGCCUAUCACCUUCUCUGGAAGCCAUCCCUGACACACCUGUACCAGGUAGAGCCACCUCUUCCCCUAGGUCAUCAUCCAUCUUUAGCUUGCUUCUAUGGAUUUGCUUUCUGUCCUAUGUAACAAUCCUUCACAUUACCCAGAAUUUUCUUAAGGAUUUACUCCUAUUUCAAUCCCUAUUACCUACCAAAAUUUAUAUUUUGUUCUUGGCAUUGUUCUAGGCUUGCUAAGGUGUUAAGGAGACUCCCUAAAAUGUUAUACUACAUUGUUGUAGGCCUCAAGGAACUUUACAUUUUAAUGACAACUAGUACAUAUAGUGUGAUAAAUGACGCAGUACUACAUGGCUCCCGGAUGUUCUGAUUUAGUAGUUGAGGUUGGGCCUCAGGAAUCAGGAUGUUCAGGAAAUCUCCAGAGAAAUCCAGUGUGCAGCCAGGUUUGGGGACUGCUGGAUUACAGGAAGGAGAUUAGAAUCUGCAAAGCCAGUUUGAAGGCACGAGGGUUUUUAAAUGAAUAUUCAAAAGUCUGGCUCAGGAUACACUCAUGGGUAGAGCAAGAAACUGAUGGCGGCCUUGCAUGCAGAUCCUUCCACUCUAUACCCAGACAUCAUGUAGGUGCCUCUCCUGGUGGUUGCAGGCCCUUAUGGGGAUCAGGGCACAGGUAAAGUCUUAAUUCCUGGGAAUCUUGGUAGAGAAUGAUUGCAGGGUUUUUCCCAGUGGGGUGGUCAAAUGUAUGGAAAAGAGCAACAGGGAGCCUGGGGUGAGGCCAGAAAACAGCAGAACCUGAGCAGAGUUAGGCUCAUAGAAAUAGGAGGAUCUUUGUGCCAACCCCAGCUCCAUGAGCUUGUGGCACGUCCCCUUGGCCUCCAAGAGACCAACAAAGAGCUAAACAGGUAGUGGUCUUUCACCAUCCUGAGGCUGACAAGGACCUCAACAGGGACUGGCAGGCUUUCUGCUUCCACACACAAUUCUAAAAGGGGAGACACCACUUUCCCUUCCAUCACAUGCAAGGGUGCUGUGCUAUCCCCUGGACUCUAUAGAACCACAUUCCUGUCCAAAUACAAGUCCCUUUUAAUAUCCAGAGAAGGAAGAGUGGUCAGAAGAAACACAACAUAAACCUAAACAGAAAGAACAAAAGGCAGAAACAAAAUACUACAUUUUAAAAAGUACUUAACUUUCUAAAGUUGAAAAUAUGAUGUAUUAGUACAUUUUACGUUGCUAUAAAGAAAUACAUGAGACUGGGUCAUUUAUACAGAAAAGAGAUUUAUUUGGUUCAUGGUUCUGUAGGCUGUACAGGAAGCAUGCCACCAGUAUCUGCUUCUGGGAGGCCUCAGGAAGCUUCUAAUCAUGGUGGAAAGCAGAAGGGCAGCAGGCAUGUCACAUGGAAAGAGCCAGGAGCAAGAGGGAGGGGAGAAGGUGCUAGGCCCCUUGAAACAACCAGCUCUCCUGUGAGCUAGUAGAGUGAGAACUCAUUCAUUACUGAAAGGACAGCACCAAGCCAUUCAUGUGGGAUCUGAUCCUAUGACCCUAAUACCGCCCACCAGGCCCACUUCCAACAGUGGGGUUCAAAUUUUAACAUGAGAUUCACAAGGGACAAAACUGCCAAGCUAUGUCACAUGAUUUUCCAAACAAAUAAUUGACUGAUGAAUUAAAGAUGAGAUAGUUAUAGUUGAGACUAAAGUUUGAGAACUAGAAGUUCAAGUGGACAAAAUAUUUCAAACAGAACAUAAUUAUAAAGAGAUGGAUAUAAUGAGGAAAAAAUCAUUUUGGUGGGGAAAACCCAUCUUUAAUAGUGAAACAAUACAUCUAGGUGGGGAAAUACUUGGUCAGUUGCUUUUAAAAGAUAGUAGGAAAUGUAUAUCUAAUUAUGAGAGGUAACUAUUAAUGAAAUGGAAAAGUAUGGUAGAAUUUGUAAAUUAAUAAGAGGAAAAAAUAGAAUUAUUAGAGAAUGGAUCAAAGUAACAAAACUAAGAAGCAAUUUGAAAUAUUUAGCAAUCAUAAGGUAAGAUAAAAAAUAUAUAAUCAAGGCAUCUUAGCCAUUAUGGUAUAUGCAAGUGGGCUGAAUGCUUUCAUUAAAGAUGAUUGUUAUUUUUGCAUUAUAACACAAAACCCAGUUAUAUGCUAUAUGAUAACACUUAAAACAAAUAAAUACAGAAAGCUAGAACAUAAGGUUGUGAAGAUAAUUAAACACAAGGCAAUAUUAAACAAAAUAAAACUAACAAAACACUUAUUUAAAAACCCUAAAAAGUAGAAAGUGGGAAAGGCAAUAUACUAAUAUCACAAUAUCAUUAAUAUGAUAAUAUAUUAAAAUACUCUUGCAUUUAAGGUUAAGCAGGGGUAUUAUGUGAUGAUAAAAAGAAAUUAUAACAUUCCUAAAUUUCUACGCAUAAAAAUAUAUCAGAAAAAUAUACAAGGCAAUAACUAUGCAAAAUGCAGUAUGUAAUAGGAACAUGUUUGUAGCAGGAAACUUUAAUAUACUGUUUUGGAAAAUGGACAGAUCUAGCAGGCAAAAUAAAUUAGUCUUGCAGUAAUGAAUACACAAUCAACAAACAAUAACCAUAAACGUAAGCUUGCGUUUUUCAAAGGAGGCCAUACAUACUUGGUAUGACUUUCACACAAAAAAAGUGCUCAUUAAAUUACCUACGAAGAAAAAA